AUAUUAUCUGGCAGGAGAGAGGUCAUGAUCACGGAAGUACCUCUCUAGGAGUGAAGCUUAUUCCUUGCUCUCCAGAUGUGCUCACCCUUGAUUUCUCCAGGUAUGCGGAGCUCAACUACACAUUCUGUGGUCGUGGGAAACAACAGUCACCCUCCCC